CAUUGCUUCUCACAGCUAGGGAUUGGGAGGCAUGGCGCAUGCAUGGCUGCUCACAGCGAGGGAUUGGGAGGCAUGGCGCAUGCAUGGCUGCUCACAGCGAGGGAUUGGGAGGCAUGGUGCAUGCACUGCUUCUCAUAGCGAGGUAUUGGGAGGCAUGGCACAUGCAUUGCUUCUCACAGCUAGGAAUUGGGAGGCAUGGUGCAUGCAUGGCUGCUCACAGCGAGGGAUUGGGAG